UACGUAGGGCGCAAGCGUUGUCCGGAAUUAUUGGGCGUAAAGAGCUCGUAGGUGGCGUGUCGCGUCUGCCGUGAAAGCCCAUGGCUUAACUGUGGGUCUGCGGUGGAUACGGGCAGGCUGGAGGCUGGUAGGGGCAAGCGGAAUUCCUGGUGUAGCGGUGAAAUGCGUAGAUAUCAAGAGGAACACCUGAGGUGAAGACGGGUUGCUGGGCCAACACUGACGCUGAGGCGCGAAAGCCAGGGGAGCAAACGGG
rnacentral:rRNA from 1 species